AGUGAGUGGCACCCUGGCAAACAACCUGAGACGUCAUCAAGGCGCACACAGAAGUUAGCCUAUAGGCUAUAUGGAGCAGACCUUUUAAUUACUUUUCCAUUCUCUCCCAUCAAGUCGGUCAAGGAAGGAUCAGAAGAUGACCGUACUUGCAGCCCAAAUACACUUCUUAUAAAAACUGAUGAUUCUCUCCUUUCCUCUGUGGUCGUGUUUUAAAUCGUGGAAUGGUAUGGGGCAGAACGGUGCCGAAGACUGAGUUAUCCGGCGCGGUUCAAUAGCGUUGACAUUAAAACAUCGACGGAUUUACUGGAGGAUAUUAGAAACGGAGACAAAACAGGGGUCUCGUUAAACUCACCGCAGAGUCAGAGAGGGAGAUCCCUUUCCUCAGCCUGCCGUAGCAAUGAGCGGACUGUGCAAGCCUGUAGUUAUGGGACUCAUAUUGCUGAUCUGCAGUACUACCAGCCACUGUGAGGAGAGCGCGCCAGCCACGGCUCCCACGGUCGCGAGGAACGACAAGAGCCUACUCAGGCGGAUUGCAGACAUAGUGAAGCACGUGGAGGAGAGCCGCGGUGAGAACAGCACGAACGCAGCAUCGCAGUCGACUUCUAGGAGAGAAUCCCCAGUUGAGACAAAAAGGGAUUUACGAAACCUCAAAACAGAUAGUGGCGAUCAAAUUAUUGAAAUAUUUCCUAGAGAUCUCAGAAAGAAAGAAAAGUUUUUAAAACACUUAACAGGUCCUCUGUAUUUCAAUCCCAAAUGCAGAAAGCACGUAUACAGACUAUAUCACAACACCAGAGACUGCACAAUACCUGCAUACUUCAAAAGAUGCGCACGGCUUCUCACACGCUUAGCAGGGAGCCCACGAUGUACAGAAGGGUAGCAGAAAUCAAGUUGAAGCCAAACCAGAGCUGUCCAGAAGAGAGCCCUGACAAAAAGUGCCUUAGACAACAACAGGGAAACCAAACAAACUCGAACCAGUCACGUCCGCCAUUACGCAGUAUCCGUCAUCAGAGUUCACUAUUUUACAAAGACAUGGAUUACCACCCACAGGCCUCCCUGGACCCUACACAGUCUGUGGUCACUGCGGGUCUUGACAAGAGACUAUACAGAAGAUACAGAAGGUGAAGGGGGAAAAAUGGCAGCAACCACAGAUUUCGGGGUUAUUAUUGUCCUGCUGGCUGGACAAACUCUACUUUCUUCUUUCUUUCUUGGUUUUUACCAAAAGAGAAAAGGGAUUGCUUUUGUUUGUUUUUAACCCCCCCCCCCAAAAAAAAAACAACAACAACAAUUGAAAUCAAUCAAAUCUUUUGGUUGGGUUGCGACAUGCCUUUUUAGGUUGUAUUUAUGUUGUGGUUCGGCGUCAUAUCUUUGUCAGCAGCACUACCUAUUAGUGGAUAAAAGGCUAUCUCGGACAUUCUCUCACCUACCUGUGACCACACUGAAACGUAUGAUUAAAUUAUUAACUGCAUGACAAUUUCCUUGCCUUUUUAUGUCUUUGUAAGACAUGUAUUAAAACAAGAGACACUAUAUAUUAGGCACUGGUUGCAGUCAGAAGUUGUGUGUAAGAAGAAACCCUCCUGUGAGUCUGAGUGUGGUAGUGUGGUACAUAGUAUAUUUAUAUAUUCAAGUUGUCAUAUGUUUUCCUCUGUAUACAGUAUGUAUAAACAUUCUAACCUGAGUGCAAUAUGUACAUAUUGUAAAAAGCAUAAAAGGAAUCCACAUAACAACCAUAAA